CCUACGGGAGGCAGCAGUGAGGAAUAUUGGUCAAUGGGCGGGAGCCUGAACCAGCCAAGUCGCGUGAGGGAAGACGGUCCUAUGGAUUGUAAACCUCUUUAGGCGGGGAGCAAUGCCGGGCACGCGUGCCCGGAGGGAGAGUACCCGCAGAAUAAGCAUCGGCUAACUCCGUGCCAGCAGCCGCGGUAAUACGGAGGAUGCGAGCGUUAUCCGGAGUUAUUGGUUUUAAAGGUUGCGUAGGCGGAUUUUUAAGUCAGCGGUAAAAUGUCCGGGCUCAACCCGUGCCGGCCGUUGAAACUGGGGAUCUUGAGUGGGCGAGAAGUAUGCGGAAUGCGUGGUGUAGCGGUGAAAUGCAUAGAUAUCACGCAGAACUCCGAUUGCGAAGGCAGCAUACCGGCGCCCGACUGACGCUGAGGCACGAAAGCGUGGGGAUCGAACAGGAUUAGAUACCCCAGUAGUC
rnacentral:rRNA from 1 species